UUCUAAAGCAUUGGAACAGUCUGCCUAGGGAAGUGGUAGAGUCACCACCCUGAAGGAAUUUCAAAGACCUGUAGAUGAGGGGCUUAGAGAUACGGUUUUCUGUGAUUUU